rnacentral:ncRNA from 2 species
UGUAAACAGGGAAAUGGUGUUCUUCCUUACCCAACCGCUUUAGCAAAGCUGAUGACGCCUGAUUAAUU